GACGGGGGGGGCAAGUGUUCUUCGGAAUGACUGGCGUAAGGGCACGUAGGCGGUGAAUCGGGUUGAAAGUGAAAGUCGCCAAAAAGUGGCGGAAUGCUCUCGAAACCAAUUCACUUGAGUGAGACAGAGGAGAGUGGAAUUUCGUGUGUAGGGGUGAAAUCCGUAGAUCUACGAAGGAACGCCAAAAGCGAAGGCAGCUCUCUGGGUCCCUACCGACGCUGGGGUGCGAAAGCAUGGGGAGCGAACAGG
rnacentral:rRNA from 1 species